AGUCUAUGAACCCAAAUUAUUCAGAAUUCAAAUUUCCAUGCAUGAAAGGUCACCCUUGGCAUAAGUUUUUUGCAAAUUCUGUACCCCCUGAGGCAAUUGAUCUUGUGUCAACACUACUUCAAUACUCACCUAAUUUGCGUCUUACAGCGUUGGAGGCCUGC